AAUCAACAUUGUGCAAACAUGAGAUGCAAAAGCCAAAAUUAUGACACAAGUCGAAAUUAAGAGAUCAAAAUGUAGAUAAUUGCCCCUUAUUACAACUUGUCAAUUUGGACUUCUUUCAUAAUUAUGAAAAUGAGACAUACAAGACCACCAGGGCAGCAGAGCAGAUAUUUUCCCUCUCCGGUAGCUGCCUUCACCACAUAUUUUUACCAAAGCUUGAACAAAGGAAGGAAAUCUGACGUGCCCUGGAGGAAACUGCACAAUGUUGAAGUUUAUGGAAGUCUGGUACUACUGAAACCGCCCUAUUGUGUUGCAACACCCAGUCUGGCUUACAACAUGCAUGCAACAGAUUUAUACUUGCCUAUGUAGGUGGAGGCCUCACCGUUUGGUUCCUGGAAUGGUGUGAUAAACCCCAUCAUGGAAGCAGAGCCAAAGGUCAACCAGGAAAAGCAACCUUGGGAAGCAAGAAUGCUUUGCUCUGAGGAAGUACA